GACAGAGGUGCCGAGCGUUAGGCGGAAUCACUGGGCUUAAAGCGUGUGUAGGCGGAUCUGUAAGUACCUUGUGAAAUCCCACGGCUCAACCAUGGAACUGCUUGGUAUACUGCGGAUCUUGAGCCACCUAGGGGCGAGCGGAACAAGUGGUGGAGCGGUGAAAUGCGUAGAUAUCACUUGGAACGCCAAUGGUGAAAACAGCUCGCUGGGGGUGUGCUGACGCUGAGACACGAAAGCCAGGGGAGCAAACGGG
rnacentral:rRNA from 1 species